UUAUGGAUCAUUAUUGAUUCAUUUUGUGUUUUUGAAUCUUCAUUCCGAGCUGUCUUUUAGGCGGAAAUUCUAUUUCUUGGAGAUUACCGGGAGCAUUACGAUUAUCAAUAUGUAAUUUUACAAUCAUAUACAUUUUUCCGGUGGAGUUCAAUUAAGCAUUUUGUUGUCAUCUAUCGCGUUUUGCUAGUCUGUGUUAGCGUGGCAGUAAAGCUUUCUUUUUUCGAUGUAUGUUGUAUGAGUGUUGUAGUUCUAGCUAGUACCUGGACUAUCUAUUUAUGGCUUUGAUAAUAUUGUGGCAUUGCUAAUGUUUAACUGUAAGUUGCACCGAUAAUUUAUUUGGCCGGUUGCGUUGGCCUUAGCGAUUUAGCAGAGCGACUCUGGUCCCUGGCCGUCUUUACCUUAUAUGGUAAUCAUAACCAUAUAUGUCACAACACAAACAUCUAUAAAUAAACGUUAUGAAUGAUUGUAAUAUGACCAUCUAUGGAGAAAGCGUAAUCAAAUAACGUGCGAGGGGUUCCGAAUGGAGAAACAAUAAAAAACAUCGUUGGAAUAAUCUCCCCUUUUGAUUGCCCACGAGCUUUCAAACGGUUGAGAUCCGGUGCCCAAGACAGGAGAAAAGUGAACCUUAUUGCUGGGGACUCCAAUGUUCAUCGGAUUAAGGAUAUUCUUCCUGACGAUAUAGCUGUCAAAUACCUGCCAAUCUCUGGUGCCAAAUUGUCUUGUGAUCGUUUUCGCCAUGCAUUGUUGAGAGACUUGCGGAAGAUGGAUGUUCAACAGCUGUAUCUUCAUCUAGGCUCAAAUGACAUUCUUACGAAUGAAGCGGUGUUUUACCGGUACAUAAACAAUUUUAUAAAAAAAGCUUUGAUAUUUAAAUUUAAUGUAGUUGUUUCCCAUAACUAUAUAAA